UACGUAGGGUGCGAGCGUUGUCCGGAAUUAUUGGGCGUAAAGAGCUCGUAGGCGGUCUGUCGCGUCGAUCGUGAAAACUUGGGGCUUAACCCUGAGCUUGCGGUCGAUACGGGCAUGACUGGAGUUCGGCAGGGGAGACUGGAAUUCCUGGUGUAGCGGUGAAAUGCGCAGAUAUCAGGAGGAACACCGGUGGCGAAGGCGGGUCUCUGGACAGUUCCUGACACUGAGGCACGAAGGCCAGGGGAGCAAACGGG
rnacentral:rRNA from 1 species